rnacentral:rRNA from 1 species
ACUCAAAUGAAUUGACGGGGGCCCGCACAAGCAGUGGAGCAUGUGGUUUAAUUCGAAGCAACGCGAAGAACCUUACCAGGACUUGACAUCCCAGAGACCGGCUUAGAGAUAAGCCUUCCCUUCGGGGCUCUGGUGACAGGUGGUGCAUGGUUGUCGUCAGCUCGUGUCGUGAGAUGUUGGGUUAAGUCCCGCAACGAGCGCAACCCUUACGUUGUGUUGCCAGCAUUGAGUUGGGCACUCACAACGGACUGCCGUCGACAAGACGGAGGAAGGCGGGGAUGACGUCAAAUCAUCAUGCCCCUUAUGUCCUGGGCUACACACGUGCUACAAUGGGCGGUACAACGGGAAGCGAAGCCGCGAGGCGGAGCCAAACCCUGAAAACCGUUCGUAGUUCGGAUUGCAGGCUGCAACUCGCCUGCAUGAAGCCGGAAUUGCUAGUAAUCGCGGAUCAGCAUGCCGCGGUGAAUCCGUUCCCGGGCCUUGUACACACCGCCCGU